UUGCCUCACCUCUCCUCUGAUCACCUCUCUCAAGUCAAUCAAUCUAUCUAGGGUGUGGUGUGGAGAUAUUUAGCCCCAACUCGCGUUUGGUUGCCGUGAAGGUUUAGGAAAAUGAAAGAAAAUUCAAUUUGAAUUUUGAAUUUUUGUAGAGUGAUAUUGAAGCCGCCUAGUCCUAGCACUUGUAUUAGUAUAAAAAUUCAAUUUUGUCACCACUGUUACUGUUGAUUUGCUUGGAAGUUUCUAGCAGAGUUGAUGGAUUUUAAAAUUUUACAAUUUCUACUUUCUCUCUCUAUCAGCAUGUAAGCGUCUAAUAUUAUCUGUAUAUUUGACUGAAAUUUAUAGAAAUGGACGGUGUUGAUGAUUAGAAGAAGAAUCUGGAAGAGGAAAAGCUUCGAUUUUAAGGAAAUAUAAUUUUUGUCGAAACUAGCACUAUGGUUAGUGAGAGUGUGGUAUCUAAAAUAGCACAAAGUGGGCAAGAGGAGCAAAACAAUGAAACCUAGAAAGAGAGUGGGGCUUCGAAGCCCUAGCCGGAGGAGGAUUCAAAGUCUAGACAUAAUGACCUCAUGCUCAAGUCUGUUGAUCCAAACAACCAAGAAUUUGAGCAAGGCAACCAAGGGUGGGUAGAGAGUCAUUGCUCGCAGAAUAGCAAAGGGUCAUUCAAGAAUAACCAUGUAGCAUCUUUGCCUCCAUCCAAGUUCUCUGAUGCAAUCAAAAUCUAAAAGCUUGCCAUCAUCGUCAACCUAAGCAAAUAUGAACUUUUAUGUAGUGGCUCAGUCAACACAAACUAGGAACUCUUUUAGGUCCCUUGAUUUGUGCUCCCGUCACAGAUUCUGCCCCUUUCAUGUGUAAAACAACUUGUUAUUCAUAAGGAUGUGCAAGUGUUAAUUUUGAAUUGCUUCAUUGAAUUAAAAAUCAUUUUUUUUUUAUAAUUAGUGUGAGCUAAUCUAUUUUGAGAGCAAUGAGAGUAGAAUGUAGUUCUGGAUUUGAUGGUCCUGAUCUGCUGAGUACUUAUGAAAAUAAGAAAGUAUUGGAAUGACUGAUGCUUGAAAAUGGUAUUUAUGCCUUUAAUUUUCCAAAUGGUUUCAGGCAGCAACUCUCUUUGUGAUUCCUGGACUUGAUAAAUUGGGUUAGGUUAAUGUCCGUUAGGACUAAAACUAGGAAUUUCCUGCAAAAGGCACUUGAGCUCCCUAAACUUUUGUGAAAAAUACCAUCAAGGCAUUCAACUUGUUUUUCUUCUCGUCUAUGAUUGCCCAUUCAACUGAUUUCACUUUGGAAACCACAUCCUAGAAGUUUUUGCUUUUGAUCUCCAGUGUUUAUUCUUCAUUUCAAAUGGAAAAUUUGUGUAAAAUCAAACUCGCAUUUGCAGUGGAAGAAGCAAAUGUUUACAGUUUUGGAAUUGUUGCCUUGGAAAUUGUCAGUGGAAGAAGCAACAUUACUUAUAGGCCAAAAGAGGAAUGCAUCUAUCGUCUUGAUUGGCAUGAUUUGUUAUUUGUGUCGAGAAACAUCUUCAAGGAUGAAUGGCUGUCUAAACUACAAGCGGUAAAACCUGUUGGGAACCCAGAGUAUACAUCUAGAGUAUAAUCGAAAAUUUGAUGUCUUAGCAGGUUCAAGUAGCGCACCUAUCUUAUUUUUUACUUUGCGUGAUUAAUAGAAUUUAUUAUUCUUUAAAUGAAAUUUUAUUCAGGAAAUGUAAUUUUUGUCGAAACUAGCACUAUGGUUAGUGAGAAUGUGGUAUCUGAAAUAGCACAAAGUGGGCAAGAGGAGCAAAACAAUGAAACCUAGAAAGAGAGUGGGGCUUCGAAGCCCUAGCCAGAGGAGGAUUCAAAGUCUGGACAUAAUGACCUCAUGCUCAAGUCUGUUGAUCCAAACAACCAGUAAUUUGAGUGGAAGAAGCAGAUGUUUACAGUUUUGGAAUUGUUGCCUUGGAAAUUGUCAGUGGAAGAAGCAACACUACUUAUAGGUCAAAAGAGGAAUGCAUCUAUCGUCUUGAUUGGGCACUCAUUAAAAGGGAAGGGGAAUUUGAUGGGUCUAGUCGACCCCAGAUUGGGCUUAGACUUCAACAAGGAAGAGAUCAUGGUGAUGAUCAACAUAGCUCUCCUGUGCACAAACGUCUCUCCAGCAGUCAGGCCAGCUAUGCCAUCAGUUGUGAACAUGCUUGAAGGCAGAAUUGCUGUUCCGGACAUUUGUUUCUGAUCCCAGUGCUCCUUGUGAUGACUUAAAGCUCAAGGAGAUGAUAUCGCUACGUCCAAGAAAAGAGCAUGGGUUUAGCAGUGGUGUGACAUCUUAUUCAUACUAAGCUGAGUGUGUUAAAGGAUGUAAUAUUGAUAUUAAAUGAUUAAAUUAUUAAUAUUCUUUGUGUGAAUUUAUAGGCUUUAAUUGUUUUUAGCUAA